GACGAACGCUGGCGGCGUGCUUAACACAUGCAAGUCGAACGGAAAGGCCCUGCUUUUGUGGGGUGCUCGAGUGGCGAACGGGUGAGUAACACGUGAGUAACCUGCCCUUGACUUUGGGAUAACUUCAGGAAACUGGGGCUAAUACCGGAUAGGAGCUCCUGCUGCAUGGUGAGGGUUGGAAAGUUUCGGCGGUUGGGGAUGGACUCGCGGCUUAUCAGCUUGUUGGUGGGGUAGUGGCUUACCAAGGCUUUGACGGGUAGCCGGCCUGAGAGGGUGACCGGCCACAUUGGGACUGAGAUACGGCCCAGACUCCUACGGGAGGCAGCAGUGGGGAAUAUUGCACAAUGGGCGGAAGCCUGAUGCAGCAACGCCGCGUGCGGGAUGACGACCUUCGGGUUGUAAACCGCUUUCGCCUGUGACGAAGCGUGAGUGACGGUAAUGGGUAAAGAAGCACCGGCUAACUACGUG
rnacentral:rRNA from 1 species